ACUGGUGGGAGCUUGGAAGGAGGGUAGAAGGGAGAAAGAAGCUGAUUUUAUUUCUCCUUCUGUUGAAGUCUCUGGCAGUGGCAGCAGUAGCAGCAGUGGCAGCAGCUGCGGCAAUAGCAGUAGCAGCGGCAGUAGGCCCUGAAAGCAGCAGAUCUCACCUGCAUUGGAGGAUGAGACGCCACAUGAAGAAGAAAGAAGACGCCACAGACAGCAGCGCAGUACCACCUUCCAGAGAUGUGAGUGUGACCGUCUUUGACCUUCUAGCCCAGCUGCUUUCCCUGAAUGCAAUGCAUGAGCAGGCCAGGCAAAACUAGAGAGGGAAGCUGCCCAGCUAACCCACAGAAUUAUGAGAGAUAAAAAAUCAUUGUCUUA
rnacentral:lncRNA from 1 species